AGCUCCAAUAGCGUAUAUUAAAGUUGCUGCAGUUAAAAAGCUCGUAGUUGGAUUUCUGGCUUGACGCGCUUGGCCCGCCUCGGUUACGAGUGUGAGUGCUGAUGCGCGUCUGCCAUCCUUCCAGAAAACGGUGUCUCCCUUCAUUGGGUUGGCAUCGCGAUCUGGAUCUAUUACUUUGAAAAAAUUAGAGUGUUUAAAGCAGGCGUUUGCUGUGAAUACAUUAGCAUGGAAUAAUAAUUUAGGACUUUGGUCUUAUUUUGUUGGUUUCUAAGGCUGAAGUAAUGAUUGAUAGGGAUAGUUGGGGGUGCUAGUAUUCCGUGGCCAGAGGUGAAAUUCUUGGAUUCACGGAAGACUAACUUAUGCGAAAGCAUUCACCAAGGAUGUCUUCU
rnacentral:rRNA from 1 species